UAAGGAAUAUUGGACAAUGGAGGCAACUCUGAUCCAGCCAUGCCGCGUGAAGGAAUAAGGCCCUAUGGGUUGUAAACUUCUUUUAGACGGGACAAAACCCCUUUACGUGUAAAGGGUUGAUGGUACUGUCAGAAUAAGCAUCGGCUAACUUCGUGCCAGCAGCCGCGGUAAUACGAAGGAUGCAAGCGUUAUCCGGAAUUAUUGGGUUUAAAGGGUGCGUAGGCGGACUAAUAAGUCAGUGGUGAAAGCCUGCAGCUUAACUGCAGAAUUGCCAUCGAUACUGUUAGUCUUGAGUACAGUUGAGGUAGGCGGAAUGUGUCAUGUAGCGGUGAAAUGCUUAGAUAUGACACAGAACACCGAUUGCGAAGGCAGCUUGCUAAGCUGUAACUGACGCUGAGGCACGAAAGCGUGGGGAGCAAACA
rnacentral:rRNA from 1 species